rnacentral:rRNA from 1 species
AUUGAACGCUGGCGGCAGGCUUAACACAUGCAAGUCGAGCGGGGUGAUGGUGCUUGCACUAUCACUUAGCGGCGGACGGGUGAGUAAUGCUUAGGAAUCUGCCUAUUAGUGGGGGACAACAUCUCGAAAGGGAUGCUAAUACCGCAUACGUUCUACGGGAGAAAGCAGGGGAUCACUUGUGACCUUGCGCUAAUAGAUGAGCCUAAGUCGGAUUAGCUAGUUGGUGGGGUAAAGGCCUACCAAGGCGACGAUCUGUAGCGGGUCUGAGAGGAUGAUCCGCCACACUGGGACUGAGACACGGCCCAGACUCCUACGGGAGGCAGCAGUGGGGAAUAUUGGACAAUGGGGGGAACCCUGAUCCAGCCAUGCCGCGUGUGUGAAGAAGGCCUUAUGGUUGUAAAGCACUUUAAGCGAGGAGGAGGCUCUUUUGGUUAAUACCCAAGGUGAGUGGACGUUACUCGCAGAAUAAGCACCGGCUAACUCUGUGCCAGCCGCCGCCGUAA